GCCACUUAAUAAGGACUGAGAUUCUUGGGUGGCAGAAAAAUCCUGGUGUGCUAGAUUCUUAGUCACUUUAAACUGCAUAGAAGUAAUGAGCAUAGGCUUCAGUAUAUUUAAUAAGGUGCUGAGGCAGCAGAUUCAAAUGCAAAAGAGGGAGGAACCAGUUAUUCCAAGGCAGGAUGAUGCACCCCCACACAGAGUGUGGAAAAAUUAAAGUGAAACAAAGAUUUGGACAGUGUCAUUAGGAAGCCUGAGGAGAACAUGCUACAAGGCCAGAUCCUGUCCUAUGGAAAAUAAAAAAGAUCAGCAGAACUAAAGCAAAAGCAGUCAUCUCCAGUGUGUGGGCCUUAGCAAAGAGUAAACCAAAUACCUCUCCUUGUGUUAGGAGCACUGUUAUAUUCCCAGCUCAGAGAUGAUUGUGUGCUGGGAAAUGCUUAUAUUCAUUAUUUCCCAACUAAUGCAUUUGGACAUAUGUAUUCCAGUUUUUCAAAGACACUACCCAAAGCUUCUUUACAUUUGCAUUGGUUAUAUUUAAUAUUUCUUAAGCUAAGAUCACUGAUUAUCCACACGUUAUUAGAAAUCUUUGGUUACAGUGAGGCUUAACCUGGGCUAAAGUCUCCUAAAUGGGACUACACUUAGAUCCGCCCUAUUUCACCUUUGGACUAACGUUGACUAAAUGGCUCCUAGAGUUACCCACAGAGGGAGCUUACUAUGAUGAGAGCUACUGUGGGGAAACAUAGUAUUCAACAGAGAAAUGGAAGAAUACAAGUAGCAAUGUUCCUUGUCUUCAAUAACAUUUGAGGGAAAGGAAUCUAGAAAUCCUAAAGCUUAGUCAGGGUGCCUAAGGUAAGACACAAAAAGAAAGAGACAUCCAGAAAGGAAGGUUGAAAGGAAAUGAAGGGCAGUAACAAAGCACCAAUGUAAAAUGACCCAUAGCCAACAAUAAAUGCAAUAACAAUAAAGGAAACUAACCCUCACAAAGGGUUUGAGGAGCUUCCUGCUGUGUGUCCUUAAACAGUGCGUGCCUCUUAAGUCUCUACAACACUUUUUUAAAGGGCAUUGAAUUGGACAUUGGUUUAAUUUUUACCUACGCUCCCUAUAAUCUCAGGAGGUAACCAUUAUUUAAUCAGAAUUACCCUUGCUCUGUUUAUCUGUGAGGCCUCAGACACAACGGUGGUUCAGCCCUCUCCCUAAGCAGUAGCAAGCUGAGUAAUGGCACACAUAUGUCUAGGAUAGCCAGCAUUCAGGAAAAUUGCUGUGAACCUCCUGUUUUUAAUUUUAAUAUAGAAAAAGUCUUUCAGGUUUGUGACACGAAGACAGAUUUAGCUUCCCACUUGUCAGCAAAUUUGUAAAAACCUCAAAACAAAUGAAUAUUUGGAAUUCACUCUAAGAGAUACAAAUCCUGAAUUUCUAACUAUCUUCUCAAAUAUUACUGAGGCCAGCAAGAUGCAAGUGUUCUACAAAAUAAUGAACUGUUC
rnacentral:lncRNA from 1 species